ensembl:lncRNA
AUAAGGCCUCCACACCUUCCAGUUCUCAGAUGUUCUUUCUGAAGUAGUUGAAAUUAACCAAUAGAUGCAGAAAUGUCUGGAGGAGGACAACUGACAGGCAGUUGGGCAGUGAUUGUGACGGAACAAUAAUGCAGUCAUUACUGAAAUAAGCCAUUUUUCACAUCUCAUGAAUUGUUGCUGGAGACAAAGUGGUUGAUGGUCUGGCUGCAGGCAAUAUGGCUUCAGCAGCAGCUGCUUAGGAAAGGACAUCCAUCAACACACCUCUGGAGAAGGGCUGCUCACGUGGUGUGUUGUGGAACUGCUUGUGGCUGGACGCACCGCAGUCAGACAUGGAAAAAUCCCACUGAUUGGGUUUCUGAAAUCAGAUGCAGACAGAAGUUUUCUGGGACACUGAGGAAUACAUCAAGGGCGCCUACUAUGGAUGCAGACCCAAGAGCCUCAGUUUCCAAGAUGCUAUUCUGUUGAAUAUUCUGCAGUAUAACCAGAUGCUCAGAGCUGCCUGGCCAUCCUUGAACCUGAUGGUGGCCUGCAGAUGGACAUCCUGGCUUGGUAUUGGACCUGCUUCAUCACCAUGAACUGGUGACCUGAUCUGGAGUAGUUUUUCAGGGUUUGGCUCAGAUUGGAACACUUAACUGGACUCUCCUGGAUUACAGUGCUUGUACUGAUACUGAUAAUGACAAAUGACAGACAUUAAACUUUUGAGACUAUGUGCCCUUAUGCGACCUGUAAAGUAAGGCAUAAUUAUCUAAAAUGGGUGACUUCUGCACAUGGUUUGGAAAUGAGGAAACAGUGGAUUUUCAGCAAAAGAAGCAGACAGGCUACCAGAGUAGCAGAUGUGCAGCUGAGCAGAAUGACCAUCUGUAGACAUCUCAGAGAGCAUCUGGAGAUUGAUGACAAGAUAAAAUCCUACCCAUGACCACAGACUCCAUUUCAGCCCAGGGUCAUAAGUCCCUGGCUACUAAGCCUGUGAAAUCUAGAGCGAAAGAACCUUUCAAGUGGCUGAGUAAUUGGAAUAAAAAGAGCUACAGCAUAAGUUAACUGGACUUCGGGAUAUUAAAAACUGUGUCUAUUUUGUGAAUGUAAAAUGGUUUCUAUUUUCAAAGAGAAGUGUAAGUAUUGAUAAGUACACACAUUUGUAUUAGAAGGCUGGUAUUAAUUGUGUCAAAACCAAUGCAAGCAGACUCCAAGAAAAGACCAAUAACAUUGUCAAUACUAUACUAAACUAGAAGUCUGUUUGAUCUAGGGUGCUGCUUGUGCAAAGUUGUUGUCAGUCAUGUAAACAUAAAACCUGUUCCAGAGAGCUAGAUCUCCUGUGGCAGGAUCUUUGACUGGCACUAAUCUUUGAGUCCAGCCCAUGUUUCACUUCCAGUGUCUCUCUCCUUUAGAUGAGACUGGUAGAAUGCACUAUUUGGGAUGUUGGCAUAUCUUAUAGUCACCUAAUGAUGUAACCUUGACUCAUUUGCUUGCCCAGAACUUCUCUGAAUGUUAACAUCUUGUUGACUUUUUUUUUUUUUUUUUUUUUUGGCUGAUAUUUUAAGUUAAGCAAAUUUUAUUAAAGAUUUGUCUG